rnacentral:rRNA from 1 species
UGAGUAACACGUGGAUAACCUACCUAUAAGACUGGGAUAACUUCGGGAAACCGGAGCUAAUACCGGAUAAUAUAUUGAACCGCAUGGUUCAAUAGUGAAAGACGGUUUUGCUGUCACUUAUAGAUGGAUCCGCGCCGCAUUAGCUAGUUGGUAAGGUAACGGCUUACCAAGGCAACGAUGCGUAGCCGACCUGAGAGGGUGAUCGGCCACACUGGAACUGAGACACGGUCCAG